rnacentral:misc_RNA from 1 species
AAGAAAUUGGUCAUGAUAAUCCCUGGAUGAGAUAAUGAACACCAGGAAAACUUAAAGUUACAGGCCAAACACGUUUUCCAGCAUGAUCCAUACAGGUUACCAUCUGAAAAAUGGGAAACACAAAAAGAAAUGAAAUCAAGACCAUUAACUGGGGAAAAAGUUCCCUUGAUCGCUUCCAUGGCUACUAAUCAGCAAAGCAUAGAAAUGCAAACAAAUGAAAUCUUUGCACAUACCCUAUUAAGAAAUAUAAAUUGAAUGACAAUUUCACGCAACAAAAGGGAUUUUUUUUUUUG